AAAUCUGCUUGUUGUCCUGUUAUUUGAAUAUUGACACUUUGUUUCUCGUUGCAUAUGGUUGAGGCUGGGUGGAGAACAUCUCCAAGGCACUACGGAAAGGAUUUCAUCUCAUAGGGGCUCAUGUUAUGUGAUGUAUAAAUGGAUGUGUUUGCUACACUGUAGCAUGUGUGCUAUCACUCUUUCAAAUCAUAUUUUUAAAGUGACACAGCCUUAAAGUAGGUUGCACGAUUUAUUAUAUGAAGGCCCAAGGGUAACCUAUCUUUUCCCCAUCUAACUCUUUUAUUUAUUUAUUUAUUUAUUUAUUUAUUUAUUUAGGUUUGAAAAAGGCUUUUUUAUUUUUAAGAAAAAAUUUAAGUAAUUAAAUAAUUGAUCCUUGUUGAGAGUUUGUCUGUAUUUUAUAAGCUGAAUAUCUUUUAUUAGAAAUUAUUAAUGAUAUAUAAGUUGCUAGCGUAUCAUUUAUAAAUACAGAUUUUUUUUGGAUGGAAAAAUACAAAAUUGAAAGCACUCAUUAAAUGUUACCCCCUCAAUAUCUUCGUGUUGAAAAUGCUUUCCUUAGUUUUCCAUAUUUGUUACAGUGGAUUGUAGACCUAUCACUGGUAAGGGAACAGAUCAUGCAUUGUCCUUUUCCCACAGUAACCCUUCUUGUUUUUUCCGGAAUCAACUAAUACUCGACGUAUAUACACUUGAUGCUGUAAAGAUCACUGGCAGUUGCAUGUGAGAUUGUAACUCCUCCAGGGAUGCAUGGCCUGUGCUUUCUGUGCACUGGAUUUAGAGAAAAUACAAUGCAGGGAAACAGUAACGUGUGCAAUUGGAUUCGAAAGGCAGUGCAGUGUGAAGUCCUGGCUUUCUGUAUACUGGAGGAAACUUCUUGUUAUUCUUUUGACUUAUUAUUCUUUUCAUCUACAAAUGCUGUGACCUUCAUCGAGGACCAUCUUACUCAUUUAUAAGGGCCAGCACACGGUCAGAAUAUGAGAUAGUUUGUUUAAAAAAUUAUUUAUAAUUUCGCGACAGCCACAACAGAGCAUCCUAGCAAGUGCAAAGCCCUUCUGUUGGGGUCCUUGUGCCUGCUGAGGUCACAGGGCAAUGAGGCUUCACUUGGCUUUUACUGUCUACAAAGUGUAUUAAGAGACAGUUUGGGGAAAAUCACUGGUUUUCUGUGUGAAGACUGGCUGCUCUAUUUAUCUGAUUUGGCGCUGCUAAAGGGUACUGAUGGGAGUUGUUAAAGAGAACAGAUAAAAUAUAGGCCUUUAGGACUUAUGUCCUCCCCCACCCCCGACCAAUAUAUUUGCUUUAGUCUCAUAUUGUCUUGGGCCUGUUGUAUCCCAUGACCAUUUGUGAUAACAGCAGCUUGAUGUUUUUAGUUGUGUGUACCUGGGCACAUAGUUAAGAAAGUAUACCCCAAGCACAGAGGAAUUAUUUCAGAGGGAUUUAUCCUAAGAGACUGGAUGGUUCUUGGUCACUUUGUACCACCUCCACCUUUUCCUAAGGUCGAGACAGCUAAACUUCUUUAAAUAUAUAGACGAUCCUGACCAUUAUAAAUAAUAGAAGCGCAGCUCAUUGAGUGACAGUCAGGGAAGAGGGACAAACAAAAAUAAUCACCUUAUUAUGUUAGUAUCAGUAUUGGUAUUUAGACAGGAGGAGAUGGCACUGUAGCCACAAAACUGUACUGAUAGCACUGGUAAAGGGGCAAGCUACUCAUUUGUGCAGGAGUCCUAGCCCUGCGGUGUAUCCUAUCCCAUCCAAAUUGUGAACUUACUUUUUUUAACAGGCAAUGAGAUAUUCACUCUCCCCCUGACCUGUAGCUACUUUUCUACUUUGGUUUGUCCGUUCUCAGCAGAUGGGUCAAGCAAACAUUGAAAUUCUUGUUUCCCAAUGCAGUGCUCGAUAAAAUGAUGUUUCGUAUUGAGAUGCCCCAAACUACAUCUUGAAGCCUAACAGCUUUUCACAUGAAGAUUGAGGCGUGAUGGAAGGCCCAGCAAGUGAGGAUCUGAGAGCACUUGAGGUUGGGCCAUUUAUUUUCAAAAGGUAGUCUUUACAUCAGAUCACUGCCAGGCAGGACAUAUCAAAAAGCUGGGGAAAAGUCACUCUUCUUUUAUGUAACCCAACACUGGGGUGGAGAAGGGGUCUUUAAAGAUAUUUUAGAGG
rnacentral:lncRNA from 1 species